AUUGAACGCUGGCGGCAUGCUUUACACAUGCAAGUCGAACGGUAACAGGCCUUCGGUUGCUGACGCGUGGCGAACGGGUGGGUAAUUCAUCGGAACGUGCCCAGCGGUGGGGGAUAACGCAGCUAAAGCUGUGCUAAUACCGCAUGUGAUCUGAGGAUGAAAGCCGGGGACCAGGCAGCAAUGUUUGGCCUCGCGCCUUUGGAGCGGCCGAUUUCCGGUUAGGUAGUUGGUGGGGUGAAGGCCUACCAAGUCGACGAUCUGUAGCUGGUCUGAGAGGACGACAAGCGACACUGGAACUGGGACACGGCCAAGACUCCUACGGGACGCCGCAGUGGGGAAUUUUGGACAACGGGCGCAAGCCUGAUCCAGCAAUGCCGAGUGUGAGAAGAAGGCCUUCGGGUUGUAAACCGCUUUUGUACGGAACGAAAAGGCUCUGGCUAAUACCUGGGGCUGAUGACGGUACCGGAAGAAUAAGCACCGGCUAACUACGUG
rnacentral:rRNA from 1 species